rnacentral:lncRNA from 1 species
UACAACAUUAANUAAGAAUCAGAGUCUUUUUUUCGUCUAAAUGACAAAGUAUAUUUCUUUUUCUGCUGUUUCAAAAAAGUUUUCUGAUGAUACUUUUGAAAAAUGAACUUCAUUGAUUGAUUCAGAACACUUGUUACUUGAUAGUAUCUAUGGGUACUUUCCAACUUAAAAGAAAGGGGAAAUUACUCAACUUCCUGAAUGAUAUAUAUUUUGGUCGACUAGAUCUAGAUAUCGUACAAAUACAUUCUAUUACUCUAUUUAUUUGAGUAUCUCAGCCAAAUUAAAUUUUUUUAGAAGUUCAUUGUAUUUAAUCAAUAAAAUUCCCUCUUUUUUGUGUUUUUUUUUGUCCACUACUUAUUAUAUUAUUUUAUAUUAUUAUAUGAAAUAAAUCGAAAAAGUUCAGAUACAUCUCGAAAAACUGAAAUCAAGACUAGGAAUUUUUUACGAACAGGAUCAAAAAUCAUUACUCUUUUGACACAACAAAGGAAUUUUCUACACCCCUUUCUUGUCUCAAAGACUAGGAAGACGCUCCCCUCUUACUUAUGCUAAUAUCUAGUCCAAUUUUAUGACAUUGAAAUCUAGCAAUUGAAAUCUGGCAAUAGUAACAUAGGCACACCCUUUCAAUUUUGCUAAAAAAAAACAAAGAAAAGGGGGUAAAGUCAAAUAAAUAGUCUUCUUCAAAAUAAAUCUACCUAUUAUGACUUGAAAUGUCGUACAAGGAACUCUGUAGAAAAAAUAGUAUAAACAAGAAAAAGGUUUUUCAUAAAUUCAUUUUUUUUUGUCGUACAACAAGAAUUGAACCUGGAUGUCGAUAAAUCCGCGAGUCUAGAAAUUCAUUUCAGCCAAUUGAACCUUCUCAAACUGUUUCUUUUUAAGAACCAAAAAGAUUUGUGCCAAAAUAAUAGAUGCCAAGAAGAACAAAAGGCCUUGGACACGUAAUGGAUUUUGAUGUACUAUUUCUGCAUCUCCCUGGCCAAAUCCGCCCACAUUAGGAUUACUCGUUAAUGGUUGAUCAAAUUGGAUGGAUUCGUCCUCUGAAAUAAGAAGUUCUGGUCCUGGAGGGAUAAUAUCAACCACUUGAUGUCCAUCUUAUGGAUCUAUUAUGAAUAUUUCAUAUCACCCCUUUUCUUUUCGUAUGAUUUCGCUUACUAUACCCGCUACUGUAGCAUUAUAAACUGUAUUGUUACUCUUGCUUCUGUCGGGAUAAAUCUAACCCCUUCCCCUAUUCCCACCUAGGUAUAUAGGA